AACGAAUCAAUUAAGCAGCUGGAGCAAGCUCUCCGCGGACUGGGAUCCUGAUGGCGAUCCGGUCAGGGGCCCGAGGAAAAGGGAUCACGGUUCGGGGGGUGCGGAAUGUACACGGAUUAAGGAAAUGAAUCCCCAGGAUCGCCAGGGUCUGCUGGGCCCCCCUGAACACAGGGUGUUUGAUCCCUGACCCCAGGCCACCUUCGGUAGGGCUAAUUAAGAGCCUGAUGGGUUUGAUUAAGUCAUCGAGCUGGGCUGGAGUGCAUACCAGGGUCGAGACCCCCCCCCCUCGUCCCCCCCCAGCCCUAGAGAACCCCACCUGCAGCUGCGGGCCCCCAGAUCAGCUAGACUCCCAGCCCUGACUCCGGCCUCUAAACUGGAACGAACCGGCUUGCCUGAGCCGAGCCCCGGGCGGAGAAGCCCGGUCUCCGGGCCCACGGGUGUUAGGGUUUGCCGGUCCUCCCAUAUUAACUUGUCACAGCGAACGUUAAUCCGCGUCGGGCCCCCCGACUCGGCGGCCCCGGUGAGCUGUGCCCAGAGGGGUCAGGCUCCCUUCUGCCAGCGUUUCAGUUUCCAGACAGCACGCGGUGGGCCUGUCCUGUCGCCCGAGAACCCCCAGCUGUCUGGUGUGACCUCUGACCUCACACACACACACACUGGACAUUUUUCACCCCACCCCCCACCCCCCCAAGAAAAUACAUAAUCAUGUUCAACGUUAUAGCAAAUAAAUGGAUAAAUAAUAGUCAUGAUAGCUUUUAUUUGGUUUGUUUUUUUCUAAAUGAGAUAUAUAUAUAGAGAGAGAGAGAUCUAUAUAGGGAGCAAUCGCCAUGGCGCAGCCCGCUGGCCUGCAGCUUCGCCGCCCUCUUCUCCGAAUCCUUCCCUCAGCUCCUGGCGGCUCAGGCGUGGAGAGCACACCAGAAAACUGGGGGUGAUGGCCUGUGGAGUGAAUAAGAGA
rnacentral:lncRNA from 1 species